CGAGGAGUGGCCCAGGCCGAGGGCAUGGCCAAACUCGUGAACAGCCACUGCAAACAGCCUUCAUCUCAGAAGCUCCAGCAGGCACUCUGCAACCACAGCCCGCUGGCACCUGCGCCCAGCCCAGCCUCUCUGACCACGGAAGCCUCUUCCUUGGGGACCCAGCCCAGGCGCCAGGACCAAGCCGCUUCACACUUUAAGCUGCUGGCCGAACACCAGCUCCUCAACAAUUCAUGGGCCAGUGAGAGGCCGAGAAGGGAUAGAGGCAGCAAGAGAGGCCAGCAGCCCCCGGGGAGGCACGGAUUUCCUGGGAUGUUGGUUGAUGUGCUUUAUGGAAAUCUCUAGAAUGGGGAGACUGAGGCACCAAGAGGUCAAGUUAACGGCAUAGCUGGGACGGAGCUUGGACCUGGCUGCGCGGUCCUGCCUUCCGGCAGGGAUCUCAGAUAUCGGGGUCAACCUCGUAAGUACUGUGGGUUUCCCCGUUGCUCUGAGCGCUUUUUCUAAGAAACUGGAGGAUGUCUGGUGCCUUCAUCAGGUAGAGCUUUUUCAUAUCUCCCCCCCACUUCCCCGCCUGGCUGCCUUUGGCCCCGCCCCUUCCUUGCACCCUUCUCACGCUACCAGUUGGGGAAAUGACACCACUGCGCGGCAGAUCCAGCGCCUGAGAUUCUGGGUGUCCGUCUCUGAGGGUCCUCGGCCCCUCCUCUCAUCCUUGGCCACGCAGGCCACUACUGUGUGCUCUCAUUCAGCCCCCAUUCCAGACUCACAGCCCCUCAAGCCACUACCUCACCCCAGCCCCAGUCCCCAGCUCCGCAAUGGCAAAUGCUGAUAAAUGUAUUUCCGAUUUCAUCAAGACACGCUGUUGAUGUAACCUGCAACUUCCUGAGCACAAAGGCCCAGCGCUUCAUCACCAUGCUUACCUCCGCCUCUCGCCCCUGCCCUGCGGUCCUUGCCUCACUCACCUCCUCCAAGGAUGUCCUCGCAUUCAUGCAUGCAAGGAUCUAUUCGUCCAUCUGUCCAUCCACGCGGAUGGCUGCAUCCUGUGUGUCCAUCCACUUCUGCGUCCAGGCAGCCCCCACCCUUUUCUUUCCAUUGGCUCAUCCACUGCCCAGAGUGCUCAAGACGCCUUCAUCCUAAGACCCCCCUCAACCUGUCUGCCCCCCCAGCCGCACCCCGCUCCCUCCCCAGCAAGGUCUCCGGCCAGUGGGCUAUGCUCAGUCUCCUGCUGUUUCUCAGCUCCUCUCACGCCGCUGUGGUCUGGGUUCCUCCCCCACCCACCAAGCCUGUGGGCCAUUUUGUCCCCAGAUGACCAAAUCGAGGCAUAAGUGACUUACUGGACUGAUGUUCACUGCGGCCCGCUUCCUCCUCCGCUCUUGUUCUUGCUCGCCUUUUGGCUUUUUCUCCAUUUCCUUUCAUUCCUGCUGUCCUCACCUUAACAGCUGGCCACGCCACAGCUCUGUCCGCCAUCUGCACACUUACAUUCUUCUGGAACCUUUCCAAUCCCCAGGUGCUACGACCCUCAAAUCUGCCCCUAGGCUCUGUGCUGAAAGCUGUGGAUGAAUUACUCAUUUAAUCUGCAAAGGACUCUUCUUAGCCCCAUUUCUCAGAUGAGGAAACUGAGCACCUGGAGGUCCAGGCACAUCUACAUGUAGCAGGUGGAGGAACCCUGGCUCGAGUUCUGCAACUCAAGUCCUAUUUUUUUU